rnacentral:rRNA from 1 species
CACACUAUCAUUAACUGAAUCCAUAGGUUAAUGAGGCGAACCGGGGGAACUGAAACAUCUAAGUACCCCGAGGAAAAGAAAUCAACCGAGAUUCCCCCAGUAGCGGCGAGCGAACGGGGAGCAGCCCAGAGCCUGAAUCAGUGUGUGUGUUAGUGGAAGCGUCUGGAAAGGCGCGCGAUACAGGGUGACAGCCCCGUACACAAAAAUGCACAUGCUGUGAGCUCGAUGAGUAGGGCGGGACACGUGGUAUCCUGUCUGAAUAUGGGGGGACCAUCCUCCAAGGCUAAAUACUCCUGACUGACCGAUAGUGAACCAGUACCGUGAGGGAAAGGCGAAAAGAACCCCGGCGAGGGGAGUGAAAAAGAACCUGAAACCGUGUACGUACAAGCAGUGGGAGCACGCUUAGGCGUGUGACUGCGUACCUUUUGUAUAAUGGGUCAGCGACUUAUAUUCUGUAGCAAGGUUAACCGAAUAGGGGAGCCGAAGGGAAACCGAGUCUUAACUGGGCGUUAAGUUGCAGGGUAUAGACCCGAAACCCGGUGAUCUAGCCAUGGGCAGGUUGAAGGUUGGGUAACACUAACUGGAGGACCGAACCGACUAAUGUUGAAAAAUUAGCGGAUGACUUGUGGCUGGGGGUGAAAGGCCAAUCAAACCGGGAGAUAGCUGGUUCUCCCCGAAAGCUAUUUAGGUAGCGCCUCGUGAAUUCAUCUCCGGGGGUAGAGCACUGUUUCGGCAAGGGGGUCAUCCCGACUUACCAACCCGAUGCAAACUGCGAAUACCGGAGAAUGUUAUCACGGGAGACACACGGCGGGUGCUAACGUCCGUCGUGAAGAGGGAAACAACCCAGACCGCCAGCUAAGGUCCCAAAGUCAUGGUUAAGUGGGAAACGAUGUGGGAAGGCCCAGACAGCCAGGAUGUUGGCUUAGAAGCAGCCAUCAUUUAAAGAAAGCGUAAUAGCUCACUGGUCGAGUCGGCCUGCGCGGAAGAUGUAACGGGGCUAAACCAUGCACCGAAGCUGCGGCAGCGACGCUGAUGCGUUGUUGGGUAGGGGAGCGUUCUGUAAGCCUGCGAAGGUGUGCUGUGAGGCAUGCUGGAGGUAUCAGAAGUGCGAAUGCUGACAUAAGUAACGAUAAAGCGGGUGAAAAGCCCGCUCGCCGGAAGACCAAGGGUUCCUGUCCAACGUUAAUCGGGGCAGGGUGAGUCGACCCCUAAGGCGAGGCCGAAAGGCGUAGUCGAUGGGAAACAGGUUAAUAUUCCUGUACUUGGUGUUACUGCGAAGGGGGGACGGAGAAGGCUAUGUUGGCCGGGCGACGGUUGUCCCGGUUUAAGCGUGUAGGCUGGUUUUCCAGGCAAAUCCGGAAAAUCAAGGCUGAGGCGUGAUGACGAGGCACUACGGUGCUGAAGCAACAAAUGCCCUGCUUCCAGGAAAAGCCUCUAAGCAUCAGGUAACAUCAAAUCGUACCCCAAACCGACACAGGUGGUCAGGUAGAGAAUACCAAGGCGCUUGAGAGAACUCGGGUGAAGGAACUAGGCAAAAUGGUGCCGUAACUUCGGGAGAAGGCACGCUGAUAUGUAGGUGAAGUCCCUCGCGGAUGGAGCUGAAAUCAGUCGAAGAUACCAGCUGGCUGCAACUGUUUAUUAAAAACACAGCACUGUGCAAACACGAAAGUGGACGUAUACGGUGUGACGCCUGCCCGGUGCCGGAAGGUUAAUUGAUGGGGU